UAGGGAAUUUUUCACAAUGAGCGAAAGCUUGAUGGAGCAAUGCCGCGUGAACGAUGAAGGCCUUUAAGAUUGUAAAGUUCUUUUAUUUGGGAAGAAUGACUUUAGCAGGUAAUGGCUAGAGUUUGACUGUACCAUUUUGAAUAAGUGACGACUAGCUAUGUGCCAGCAGUCGCGGUAAUACAUAGGUCGCAAGCGUUAUCCGGAUUUAUUGGGCGUAAAGCAAGCGCAGGCGGAUUGAAAAGUCUGGUGUUAAAGGCAGCUGCUUAACAGUUGUAUGCAUUGGAAACUAUUAAUCUAGAGUGUGGUAGGGAGUUUUGGAAUUUCAUGUGGAGCGGUGAAAUGCGUAGAUAUAUGAAGGAACACCAGUGGCGAAGGCGAAAACUUAGGCCAUUACUGACGCUUAGGCUUGAAAGUGUGGGGAGCAAAUAGGAUUAGAUACCCUAGUAGUCCACACCGUAAACGAUAGAUACUAGCUGUCGGGGCGAUCCCCUCGGUAGUGAAGUUAACACAUUAAGUAUCUCGCCUGGGUAGUACAUUCGCAAGAAUG
rnacentral:rRNA from 1 species